GGCUAGAGUUUGAUCAUGGCUCAGGGUGAACGCUGGCGGCGCACAUAAGACAUGCAAGUCGAACGAACUUAACCGAAAGUUUACUUUUGGAGCGGUUAGUGGCGGACUGGUGAGUAAUGCAUAAGCAACCUGCCUAUCAGAGGGGAACAACAGUUAGAAAUGACUGCUAAUACCGCAUAUGCCUUGAGUAACACAUGUUACAAGAGGGAAAGGAGCAAUCCGCUGAUAGAUGGGCUUAUGUCUGAUUAGAUAGUUGGUGUGGUAACGGCAUACCAAGUCGACGAUCAGUAGCCGGACUGAGAGGUUGAACGGCCACAUUGGGACUGAGAUACGGCCCAGACUCCUACGGGAGGCAGCAGUCGGGAAUAUUGCGCAAUGGAGGAAACUCUGACGCAGUGACGCCGCGUGCAGGAAGAAGGUUUUCGGAUUGUAAACUGCUUUAGACAGGGAAGAAAAAGGACAGUACCUGUAGAAUAAGCUCCGGCUAACUACGUGCCAGCAGCCGCGGUAAUACGUAGGGAGCGAGCGUUGCCCGGAUUUAUUGGGUGUAAAGGGUGCGUAGACGGGAAGACAAGUUGGUUGUGAAAUCCCUUGGCUCAACUGAGGAAUUGCAACCAAAACUAUCAUUCUUGAGUACUGGAGAGGAAAGUGGAAUUCCUAGUGUAGCGGUGAAAUGCGUAGAUAUUAGGAGGAACACCAGUGGCGAAGGCGACUUUCUGGACAGUAACUGACGUUGAGGCACGAAAGUGUGGGAGCAAACAGGAUUAGAUACCCUGGUAGUCCAACACGUAAACGAUGGAUACUAGUGUAGGGAGUGAUAAACUCUCUGUGCGUCGCCAACGCAUAGUAUCCCACCUGNNGUAC
rnacentral:rRNA from 1 species